GAUGAACGCUGGCGGCGUGCUUAACACAUGCAAGUCGAACGAUGAUGCCCAGCUUGCUGGGUGGAUUAGUGGCGAACGGGUGAGUAACACAUGAGUAACCUGCCCUUGACUCUGGGAUAAGCCUGGGAAACUGGGUCUAAUACCGGAUACGACCAUCUGGCGCAUGUCAUGGUGGUGGAAAGCUUUUGUGGUUUUGGAUGGACUCGCGGCCUAUCAGCUUGUUGGUGGGGUAAUGGCCUACCAAGGCGACGACGGGUAGCCGGCCUGAGAGGGUGACCGGCCACACUGGGACUGAGACACGGCCCAGACUCCUACGGGAGGCAGCAGUGGGGAAUAGUGCACAAUGGGCGCAAGCCUGAUGCAGCGACGCCGCGUGAGGGAUGACGGCCUUCGGGUUGUAAACCUCUUUCAGUAGGGAAGAAGCGAAAGUGACGGUACCUGCAGAAGAAGCGCCGGCUAACUACGUG
rnacentral:rRNA from 1 species